ACUAGUGUGGUGUAGUGGUUUGAGUGUUGGACUAAGACUCCAGGUGACUAGGGUUCAAAAUCCUGCUCAGGCA